GUUUUUUUCUAAUAAACUCGUUCCGAAUUGUAUGUGUGCCAAUUCUUCUGUAAGCACAAAGGUACUUUUUAGAUUAUUAACGCCAUGUUUCAAAUAAAAACACUUAAAAAAAAAUAUAAACGUACAAUUUCUCUAUUUUAUUAUUUUAUUAAAACAAGGACGACGUUCUCUACGAAAAUAGUUCGUCCAUGUAUUAAUCGAAAAAUCACAAUAUAACUAUUUUGUGGCCUUUUCGAUUUACUUUCAGUCGGUAUCAACUUCACUCAGAAGAGUCUUUCUUCAAGCAAUGAUAUAUCUGUAAGAAAAGAUAUACCAUUCUUUGAUGAAAUGAAAUCACCCUGUGUAUUAUAUGUACCUAAAUUUUAACUUAUAACUGAGGCCACUCCCAUCUUUAGUACCACCACUAUUAUUAAGAAUAAGUGCAAAAUAUAAGAGUUUCAUUUAACUGUCUUCAAUUAAAUUACUUCGAAUGUGUUUGCAGCCACUGUUGUUGUAGGUGGAAAAUUAGGAAUGUAAAAUUCAGGCUGAAAUAUAAUGUAAAUCUGUAAAAAUCGAAAACCGUUGAUAUCGAAAAAACGAUUCUGAGAGAGGUUUACUGAAAAAUAUUGCUGUGUCAACAAUACAUAUGCUAUAUAAUACAUAUUAUAACAAAAUAGUUGCAUAUGCAUUAAACAUUCUCUUUAAAAAUAUUUGUUCAAUUUUGUAUUUAUUUUCUCGUUAUCCUGAUUUUGACAUAUUUAAUUUUUUGGGAGGGAUUUGACUAUAAUAAAAUUUAUUUUNAAUAAGUGAAAAUUUCCAUAAUUUUAGUAAUUUUCAAAUUAAAAUAAACACAAAAAAGUAAUUUUUGAUCCUGUAUCGAAUAGGCAGUGAACCUGCGGUAAUUUUAACUGCAGUAAUUUUUUCAAUUAAUUUAUCUUAGACAGUCUAGUGAAAGUGAUCACACCAUAAUAAUCUACCUUAAAUGUAGGAUUAUAGUGUUUCAAUGAUUUUAAUGAUUUCAAUAGUACAAUAUUUUAUAUUUAAACAUUUAAUAACGUUAAAUUUUAUUGUAAUAUAACUGAUUUUGUCUGAUUCAAAUCAACUUUUGUUGAAUAGGUAAUUUACAAACUUGGCGAUCUAAACCUCAAGCAAGAACAUUUGGAUAAUCCGUCGACUACUACUAUAACGUAACGUGUAGCAAUUAUUACUGGCAACUGGAAUCAUACCUAUUACUAAAUAUAUAUUGUUAAGACCGUAACGUUUAAGUGAAAUAUAUUAAAAUCAAAGCAUAAAAUUAAAUUUGUGUCUCCUAAGAAUAUCGUAUUAUUCGCGUAUCUAUUUCGGAUUUAUUGCAAAUAUGCUGUUAAAAUUUAUCGUUUCGUAUGUUAUUAUUUAUUCUUUUAUGCCGGUGUCAGUACAAGGUAUAGGCGAAGGACCGUUUUCCCCUCCACCGAAAUCUCAUCUCCCUGAUGAUCCGCAUUUCGAGGGCCCUGGCCCUCCCUCUAUUUCUAAUGCACCUUAUAAUCCAGGUACUCCUGUUCACCCUCCCCGUUAGAUUAAAGGACAUUAAAAAUCAACUUUUGUCUGUACAAUAUUUGUGUAAUACAUUUAUCAUAAGUGAU
rnacentral:lncRNA from 1 species